rnacentral:lncRNA from 1 species
GAGCGGUCGGCCGUGCGGAGCGGUCGCAGUGAUUUUGCUCCUCUGUCCUCAGCAACCCCCGCACCCAGCAUCAGGAACCUGUGCCUCCCACACGCUCACCUGGCUGAGCCGCAGUAGUUCUUCAGUGGCAAGCUUUAUGUCCUGACCCAGCUAAAGCUGCCAGUUGAAGAACUGUUGCCCUCUGCCACUGGCUUCGAGGAGGAAGAGGAGGAGCAGCUUCUUUGCCUAUCAUCUGGAAGUUUCUAUAUAAGCAGCCUCAAGGAGCUCGAGCCAUCUCUGAAAGGAAAUGCACAGCAAAUUCAAAAGGAGAUUCAAAUGUAUAACAUUAUGGAAAAACACUCAUGUCUGGGGCUGUAGCUCAAUUGGUAGAAGGUUUGCUUAGCAUGCACCAAGCCCUGGUUCUGUCUUCUGCAUUGCAUAAAACUGGACAUGAUGGCCCAGGCCUGCAAUCCCGGCACUCUGGAGGUGGUGGCAAAGGAGCCUACAUUCAAGGUCAUCCUCUGCUACACCCUGAGUUCUGAGCCAGCCUGGACUAAUGAGACUGUCUC